CCUACGGGCGGCUGCAGUAGGGAAUAUUGGACAAUGGGCGAAAGCCUGAUCCAGCCAUGCCGCGUGAUAGAUGAAGGCCCUCUGGGUUGUAAAUAUCUUUUAUCUGGGAAGAAACAAUCUUAUUCUUAAGAUCUUGACGGUACCAGAGGAAUAAGCACCGGCUAACUCCGUGCCAGAAGCCGCGGUAAUACGGAGGGUGCAGGCGUUAUUCGGAUGCACUGGGUUUAAAGGGGGCUGAGGAGUGAGGAGUGAAAGCUCCGAGCUUAACUUGGAAACUGCCAUUGAUACUGCCAGUCUUGAAUGUCGUAGAGGUAAGCGGAAUGUUGCAUGUAGCGGUGAAAUGCUUAGAUAUGUUACAGAACACCAAUUGCGAAGGCAGCUUACUAUGCGAUGAUUGACGCUGAGGCACGAAAGCGUGGGGAGCAAACAGGAUUAGAUACCCCAGUAGUC
rnacentral:rRNA from 1 species